rnacentral:rRNA from 1 species
ACGAACGCUGGCGGCGUGCUUAACCCCUGCAAGUCGCACGGAAAGGCCCUGCUUUUGUGGGGUGCUCGAGUGGCGAACGGGUGAGUAACACGUGAGUAACCUGCCCUUGACUUUGGGAUAACUUCAGGAAACUGGGGCUAAUACCGGAUAGGAGCUCCUGCUGCAUGGUGGGGGUUGGAAAGUUUCGGCGGUUGGGGACGGACUCGCGGCUUAUCAGCUUGUUGGUGGGGUAGUGGCUUACCAAGGCUUUGACGGGUAGCCGGCCUGAGAGGGUGACCGGCCACAUUGGGACUGAGAUACGGCCCAGACUCCUACGGGAGGCAGCAGUGGGGAAUAUUGCACAAUGGGCGGAAGCCUGAUGCAGCAACGCCGCGUGCGGGAUGACGGCCUUCGGGUUGUAAACCGCUUUCGCCUGUGACGAAGCGUGAGUGACGGUAAUGGGUAAAGAAGCACCGGCUAACUACGUG